AGAGUUUGAUCAUGGCUCAGGAUGAACGCUGGCGGCGUGCUUAACACAUGCAAGUCGAACGAAGCAUUUGCGACAGAUUUUUUCGGAAUGAAGUUGCUUAUGACUGAGUGGCGGACGGGUGAGUAACGCGUGGGUAACCUGCCUUGUACUGGGGGAUAGCAGCUGGAAACGGCUGGUAAUACCGCAUAAGCGCACAAUGUUGCAUGACAUGGUGUGAAAAACUCCGGUGGUAUAAGAUGGACCCGCGUCUGAUUAGCUAGUUGGUGAGAUAACAGCCCACCAAGGCGACGAUCAGUAGCCGACCUGAGAGGGUGACCGGCCACAUUGGGACUGAGACACGGCCCAGACUCCUACGGGAGGCAGCAGUGGGGAAUAUUGCACAAUGGAGGAAACUCUGAUGCAGCGACGCCGCGUGAGUGAAGAAGUAAUUCGUUAUGUAAAGCUCUAUCAGCAGGGAAGAAAAUGACGGUACCUGACUAAGAAGCCCCGGCUAACUACGUGCCAGCCGCCGCGGUAAUAC
rnacentral:rRNA from 1 species